UACCAUAUUGCUUAAUCGGUAGAGUGUGAGACUCCUAAUCUCAGGGUCCUGGGUUCGAGUCGCAUGUUGGGCAA